rnacentral:rRNA from 1 species
UACGGGGGGAGCAAGCGUUGUUCGGAUUUACUGGGCGUAAAGGGCGCGUAGGCGGCCACCGCAAGUCGACUGUGAAAUCUCCGGGCUUAACCCGGAACGGUCAGCCGAUACUGCGGGGCUAGAGUGCAGAAGGGGCAACUGGAAUUCUCGGUGUAGCGGUGAAAUGCGCAGAUAUCAGGAGGAACACCGAUGGCGAAGGCAGGUCUCUGGGCAUUAACUGACGCUGAGGAGCGAAAGCAUGGGGAGCGAACAGG